CACAGUGGCUGUUCAUGGUGCUGUCACACCAUAACCCACUGCGCAGCCAGGGGGCUCCAGGAUAACCUUGUCACAUAGGUGACCACCUGGUUCAGGCUGUAUGAUGUCUACCAGGCUUUCUAAUCAUGCGUCAUUCACCCUCUUUAAUACCGCCACGUCACUGAGGGGUCGGUGCAGCGGGAUGACGCAACUUCCGGAUUUCGCAUGCCACACGCUGCCGGAAGUGCGGGUUCCGUGCACAGGACGGCGGGGACGUGGAGGCAGACACAGAUACACGGUACAGUGAAGGUGGGGCUACAAGAGGUACACAUCUAGCGUUCUCUCGACAGACCGAGAGCUCUUUACCAGUCAAUAACGUUGUGAUGACAUUUCCAUUGGUGUGACACGGUGCAAUGCAGCAAUUACUUACUUCGAAUGAGACCUUAGGUGCCCAGCCCAGCUUCUGUUUUGCUUUGCUGCAGUCUCCUUGGAGGAAUUCCUGGAAGAGGGAAAAGUUAAGGACAGCAAUAAGUUUAUGUAUCAGAAUACAGGACACAAUGCACAGUUUCAUAGUUUUUUCAAUAAAU